rnacentral:rRNA from 1 species
UACAGAGACUGCAAGCGUUAUUCGGAUUCACUGGGCGUAAAGGGUGCGCAGGCGGCCAAGUGUGUGAGGCGUGAAAGCCUGGGGCUUAACUCCAGAAUUGCACCUCAAACUACAUGGCUAGAGCAUUGGAGAGGGUAGCAGAAUUCACGGUGUAGCAGUGAAAUGCGUAGAUAUCGUGAGGAAUACCAGAGGCGAAGGCGGCUAACUGGACAAUUGCUGACGCUCAGGCACGAAAGCGUGGGGAGCAAACAGG